rnacentral:misc_RNA from 1 species
UCCGAUUUUAAUAUCGGCAGUCUCGUUAGAGUCCCCGGCAUUACCCGCUGGUAACAUAGGACAAGGGUUGCGCUCGUUGCGGGACUUAACCCAACAUCUCACGACACGAGCUGACGACAGCCAUGCAGCAUCUGUGUAACAGCCUCGAAGGGGGCCCGAUUUUCAUCAGGCUUCCAGUUACAUGUCAAACCUAGGUGAGGUUCUUCGCUUCGUCUCGAAUUAAACCACACGCUCCACUGCUUGUGCAGGUCCCCGUCAAUUCCUUUGAGUUUUAGCCUUGCGGCCGUACUCCCCAGGUGGGAUGCUUAAUGCGUUAGCUUGGGACACCGAGGGGGUCAAUACCCCCGAUAUCUAGCAUCCAUCGUUUACAGCAUGGACUAC